rfam:Dipodomys ordii ctg_broad_rename0000198, whole genome shotgun sequence.
GGGAAGGUGGCUCAGUGGUAGAGCGCUUACCUUGAAUGCAUGAGGCCAUAGGUUCAAUUCCUCAUCACCA